GCUGGGCACAGUGGCACGUGCCUGUAGUUUCAGCUACUAAGGAGGCUGAGGCAAGAGGAUUGCUAGAGCCCUGGAGUUCCGGGUUGUAGUGCCCUAUGCCAGUCGGGUGUUCACACUAAGUUCAGCAUCAGUAUGGUGACUUCUCAGGAAGAAGGGACCACCAGGUUGCCCAAGGAGGGGUGAACUGGUCCAGGUUGGAAAUGGAGCAAGUUAAAACUCCUCUGCUGCUCAGUAGUGGAAUGGCACCUGUGAAUAGCCACUGUACUCUAGCCUGGGCAACAUAACGAGACCCUGUCUCUU
ensembl:misc_RNA Metazoa_SRP Metazoan signal recognition particle RNA